rnacentral:tRNA from 1 species
GGGAGGGUAGUCUAGCUUGGUAUGAUUCUCGGCUGGGGGCUGAGUGUUCCAAUCAAGAAGAUUGGUUCAAGUAGAGGUCGCGGGUUCGAAUCCCGUCUCUCCCA